rnacentral:misc_RNA from 1 species
GAGCCUUGAAGAGCUUGGAAUGGGGGGUUCCAUCGUCUACCGGACAUUUGUUAGGACUGGAGACUGUGGUUCUCCUAGGUCUACUCUAAAAUGCUGUUGGAAAGAGGAAGAAGAGGAAGAAGAGGAUUAGUUUCAAUAUUCUAUUUCUUUAUGUUUUGCAUCUAUAUUUAAAUAAAAUAAAUGCUUUCAGGCUAUGCCUUGCCUGAUGACAGCAAUGUUAGUAGUAUUGAUGUUAUCUUCGAUUUUAUUUGCAUUACAAGUCGUAGUCCUUAAGGCCUCAAAUGUGAGGGCAGCAGUAUUUUAAAUGUUUGGGCUUUUAUGCAGACUUGUUAUUUUUAGUGGAUUCAUUCUACGUGUUAAUGUUGUUGGUUUUCCAUUAGUUGGUGUUGUGUUGCAGCAACUUGUUUGUGAUUCUUGCUAUGGUUUGCCUAGUAUUCGUCCUUUCUUUUUUAUUAUUAUUUUUGUGUGUCGGGAGGUGGGG